CAGACAGGGAAAAACGGAUAUGGUCCAAACGGUAGCAGAAACAUGGCGGCAGGCCGCGACCUUUAUAGGAGGAAGACUUACAGUUUUCAGGAGUUCCAGGAAACCUCAGACGGACAGAUAUUACUUGCCACUAAUUAAAGGAUCAUUCUGUUAGCAAGAGCAGUCCAAGUCUACAUCCCUCCGCCAAGGCUGAAAAUUCC